GACGAACGCUGGCGGCGUGCUUAACACAUGCAAGUCGAACGAAAGGACGGGAAGAGCUUGCUCUUUCCGGAAUUGAGUGGCAAACGGGUGAGUAACACGUAAACAACCUGCCUUCAGGAUGGGGACAACAGACGGAAACGACUGCUAAUACCGAAUAAGUUCCAAGAGCCGCAUGGCCCAUGGAAGAAAAGGUGGCCUCUACCUGUAAGCUAUCGCCUGAAGAGGGGUUUGCGUCUGAUUAGGCAGUUGGUGAGGUAACGGCCCACCAAACCUACGAUCAGUAGCCGGUCUGAGAGGAUGAACGGCCACACUGGAACUGAGACACGGUCCAGACUCCUACGGGAGGCAGCAGUGGGGAAUCUUCCGCAAUGGGCGAAAGCCUGACGGAGCAACGCCGCGUGAGUGAUGACGGCCUC
rnacentral:rRNA from 1 species